rnacentral:rRNA from 1 species
GAACGCCUGUAGCAAUACAGGAGUGGCAGACGGGUGAGUAACACGUAGGAAUCUACCCAGUAGCUCGGAAUAACCGCGGGAAACUGCGGCUAAUACCGAAUGCGCCCCACGGGGGAAAGGAGCAAUCCACUAUUGGAGGAGCCUGCGUCCGAUUAGCUAGUUGGCGGGGUAACGGCCCACCAAGGCGACGAUCGGUAGCUGGUUUGAGAGAACGACCAGCCACACUGGGACUGAGACACGGCCCAGACUCCUACGGGAGGCAGCAGUGGGGAAUAUUGGACAAUGGGGGAAACCCUGAUCCAGCAAUGCCGCGUGGGUGAUGAAGGCCUGCGGGUUGUAAAGCACUUUUAGUGGGGAUGAAAAGCUCAGGGCUAACACCUCUGGGUCUUGACCUAACCCACAGAAAAAGCACCGGCUAACUCUGUG